CUCUUGCGCCUGCUGCGGGCAAAUAAAGUGAAUAUGCGCAUCGAUUCCGCCGGCGGUAACAAUCUUUCCCUCCGCCGCCACGACCUCGGUGCCGGGGCCGAUUGGCACCGUGACGCCCGGCUGCACAUCUGGAUUCCCGGCUUUACCGAUGCACAGAAUACGUCCAUCUUUAACGCCGAUAUCCGCUUUCACAAUCCCCCAAUGAUCGAUAAUCAGCGCAUUGGUGAGCACCAGAUCGACACAGUGCGCCGCGAUCAUUUGCCCCUGCCCCAUCCCGUCGCGAA
rfam:Sodalis praecaptivus strain HS1, complete genome.